rnacentral:rRNA from 1 species
UACGUAGGGACCAAGCGUUGUUCGGAUUUACUGGGCGUAAAGGGCGCGUAGGCGGCAUGACAAGUCACUUGUGAAAUCUCCGGGCUUAACUCGGAACGGCCAAGUGAAACUGUCAAGCUAGAGUGCGGAAGGGGCAAUCGGAAUUCUUGGUGUAGCGGUGAAAUGCGUAGAUAUCAAGAGGAACACCUGAGGUGAAGACGGGUUGCAGGGCCGACACUGACGCUGAUGCGCGAAAGCCAGGGGAGCAAACGGG